rnacentral:rRNA from 1 species
CUGGCUCAGGAUGAACGCUGGCGGCGUGCUUAACACAUGCAAGUCGAACGAAGCACUGGCUUUGAAGUUUUCGGACAGAUAAGCCUCUGACUUAGUGGCGGACGGGUGAGUAACGCGUGGGCAACCUGCCGUAUGCAGGGGGACAACAGUUGGAAACGACUGCUAAUACCGCAUAAGCGCACGGGGACGCAUGUUUCUGUGUGAAAAGCCUUAACGGCAUACGAUGGGCCCGCGUUGGAUUAGGUAGUUGGUGAGGUAACGGCCACCAAGCCGACGAUCCAUAGCCGACCUGAGAGGGUGACCGGCCACAUUGGGACUGAGACACGGCCCAAACUCCUACGGGAGGCAGCAGUGGGGAAUAUUGCACAAUGGGGGAAACCCUGAUGCAGCCGACGCCGCGUGAGUGAAGAAGUAUUUCGGUAUGUAAAGCUCUAUCAGCAGGGAAGAAAAUGACGGUACCUGACUAAGAAGCCCCGGCUAACUACGUGCCAGCAGCUGC